rnacentral:rRNA from 1 species
CCUACGGGGGGCACCAGUGGGGAAUAUUGCACAAUGGGCGCAAGCCUGAUGCAGCCAUGCCGCGUGUAUGAAGAAGGCCUUCGGGUUGUAAAGUACUUUCAGCGGGGAGGAAGGUGUUGUGGUUAAUAACCACAGCAAUUGACGUUACCUGCAGAAGAAGCACCGGCUAACUCCGCGCCAGCAGCCGCGGUAAUACGGAGGGUGCAAGCGUUAAUCGGAAUUACUGGGCGUAAAGCGCACGCAGGCGGUCUGUCAAAUCGGAUGUGAAAUCCCCGGGCUCAACCUGGGAACUGCAUUCGAAACUGGCAGGCUAGAGUCUUGUAGAGGGGGGUAGAAUUCCAGGUGUAGCGGUGAAAUGCGUAGAGAUCUGAAGGAAUACCAGUGGCGAAGGCGGCCCCCUGGACAAAGACUGACGCUCAGAUGCGAAAGCGUGGGGAGCAAACAGGAUUAGAUACCCCGGUAG